rnacentral:rRNA from 1 species
AGUGAACGCUGGCGGUAGGCCUAACACAUGCAAGUCGAACGGCAGCACAGUAAGAGCUUGCUCUUACGGGUGGCGAGUGGCGGACGGGUGAGGAAUACAUCGGAAUCUACUUUUUCGUGGGGGAUAACGUAGGGAAACUUACGCUAAUACCGCAUACGACCUACGGGUGAAAGCAGGGGAUCUUCGGACCUUGCGCGAUUGAAUGAGCCGAUGUCGGAUUAGCUAGUUGGCGGGGUAAAGGCCCACCAAGGCGACGAUCCGUAGCUGGUCUGAGAGGAUGAUCAGCCACACUGGAGCUGAGACACGGUCCAGCCUCCUACGGGAGGCAGCAGUGGGGAAUAUUGGACAAUGGGCGCAAGCCUGAUCCAGCCAUACCGCGUGGGUGAAGAAGGCCUUCGGGUUGUAAAGCCCUUUUGUUGGGAAAGAAGAGCAGCAGGUUAAUACCCCGCUGUUCUGACGGUACCCAAAGAAUAAGCACCGGCUAACUUCGUG